rnacentral:lncRNA from 1 species
AACACCCUUUUUAUUUAACUAUCUUGCAUUAAUAACCAGUUCAGUUCGACGAGUUGCGAACAGCAAAGUUGAGAUCUCGCAAAUCAAAAUGCUCAGAGGUGGUUCAAGACCACACGAUUCGUGGAAAUAAACAAUGGUCAUGCUUUAAAAAAUGUAAAUCCGUGCUAGUACAAUAUUAUUGAUGCACGGCCAAAUCUCAACGUAGUACUAGCACGUUCUCGACAAAAAAAAAUGAUUGGUUCCUUCAUCGGAAGAACAAAAAAAAUACUAAGAUCGUGUCGUUAGUCCGUGCGAUGUCGCAUUAUUAUUAGUGGCUCAUUAUUUUUGUCAGAAGAGGUUCUCUACUCCGUACUUCUCCAGGUUGCGAUUUUCUUCUGCUAUCAGCUCAGCUGAACGCCGUGCGAGCUGAACACCGUGCGGCUAUCUCUGGCUCUGUGGUCGCUCUCCUAAUAAAUAAGCCAC